UCUGGUUGAUCCUGCCAGUAGUCAUAUGCUUGUCUCAAAGAUUAAGCCAUGCAUGUCUAAGUAUAAAUAGUAUACAGUGAAACUGCGAAUGGCUCAUUAAAACAGUUAUAGUUUAUUUGAUAAUUGACAAUUACAUGGAUAACCGUGGUAAUUCUAGAGCUAAUACAUGCUUAAACGCCCGACUUUAUGGAAGGGUGGUAUUUAUUAGACUGAAGCCAAUAUUCCUUGUGUCUAUUGCGGUGAUUCAUAAUAACUGAUCGAAUCUCUUUUUGAGAUAAAUCAUUCAAGUUUCUGCCCUAUCAGCUUUCGAUGGUAGUGUAUUGGACUACCAUGGCAGUAACGGGUAACGAAGAAUUAGGGUUCGAUUUCGGAGAGGGAGCAUGAGAAACGGCUACCACAUCUAAGGAAGGCAGCAGGCGCGUAAAUUACCCAAUCCUGACUCAGGGAGGUAGUGACAAGAAAUAGCAAACCGGGAACCUCAUGGUUUCACGGUAUUGCAAUGAGAACAAUUUAAAACCCUUAGCGAGAAUCAAGUGGAGGACAAGUCUGGUGCCAGCACCCGCGGUAAUUCCAGCUCCACUAGCGUAUAUUAAAGUUGUUGCAGUUAAAAGCUCGUAGUUGAACCUCUGUCUGGGGCUAGUUUUGGCUUUGGUCAGGCUAGUUCUAGGCAUCCGCCUACAAGACUUAGAGGGCAUUCAGUUGUUCACUAGGAGGAGUAGGCAUUUUACUUUGAAAAAAUUAGAGUGUUUAAGGCAGGCAAUCGCCCGCAUAUAUUAGCAUGGAAUAAUAGAAUAGGACACUUUUCCAUUUCGUUGGUUAUUGGAAUCGUGUAAUGAUUAAUAGGGACAGUUGUGGGCAUUUGUAUUUAAUUGUCAGAGGUGAAAUUCUUGGAUUUAUUAAAGACAAACUAACGCGAAAGCAUUUGCCAAGGAUGUUUUCAUUAAUCAAGAACGAAAGUUAGGGGAUCAAAGACGAUCAGAUACCGUCCUAGUCUUAACUAUAAACUAUUCCGACUCAAUGUUUGACUGGCUUAUAUAACCAGUUGAGCGUUGUAUGAGAAAUCAAAGUCUUUAGGUUCUGGGGGGAGUAUGGAUGCAAAGCUGAAACUUAAAGGAAUUGACGGAAGAGCACAACCAGGAGUGGAUUCUGCGGCUUAAUUUGACUCAACACGGGGAAACUUACCAGGUUAAAACAAUAGUGGGAUUGACAGUUUGAGAGCGCUUUCUUGAUUGGUUGGGUGGUGGUGCAUGGCCGUUCUUAGUUGGUGGAGUGAUUUGUCUGCUUAAUUGCGUUAACGAACGAGACCUUAACCUGCUUACUAGACUGGCGAUCAUCAAUCGUUAGCUCUUCUUAGAGGGACUUUG
rnacentral:rRNA from 1 species